rnacentral:rRNA from 1 species
GACAGAGGCCUCAAGCGUUAGGCGGAAUCACUGGGCUUAAAGCGUGUGUAGGCGGACUUCUAAGUGCCUUGUGAAAUCCCACGGCUCAACCGUGGAACUGCUGGGCAUACUGGGAGUCUUGGGCCAUUCAGGGGCAACUGGAACAAGCGGUGGAGCCGGUGAAAUGCGUAGAUAUCGCUUGGAACGCCGAAGGUGAAAACAGGUUGCUGGGGAUGUGCCGACGCUGAGACACGAAAGCCAGGGAGCAAACGGG